rnacentral:rRNA from 1 species
CGGCGAGUGAAGCGGCAAUAGCUCAAAUUUGAAAGCUGGCGUCUUCGACGUCCGCGUUGUAAUUUGUAGAGGAUGCUUCGGCGAAGACUCCUGCCUAAGUCCCCUGGAACGGGGCGUCAUAGAGGGUGAGAAUCCCGUAUGUGGCGGGCAGUCUAAGCCAUGUGAAGCUCCUUCGACGAGUCGAGUUGUUUGGGAAUGCAGCUCUAAAUGGGAGGUAAAUUUCUUCUAAAGCUAAAUAUUGGCCAGAGACCGAUAGCGCACAAGUAGAGUGAUCGAAAGAUGAAAAGCACUUUGGAAAGAGAGUUAAAAAGUACGUGAAAUUGUUGAAAGGGAAGCGCUUGCAACCAGACUCGCUCGUAGUUGCUCAGCCGGCCUCUUGGCCGGUGUACUCUUCUACGAUCGGGCCAGCAUCAGUUCGGGCGGCAGGAUAAAGGUGUCGGGAAUGUAGCACCCUUCGGGGUGUGUUAUAGCCCGGCGCGGAAUGCUGCCAGCCUGGACUGAGGAUCUCGCAAGGAUGCUGGCGUAAUGGUUGUAAGCGGCCCGUCUUGAAACACGGACCAAGGAGUCUAACAUCUAUGCGAGUGUUUGGGUGUCAAACCCAUGCGCGUAAUGAAAGUGAACGGAGGUGGGAACCCCUCACGGGGUGCACCAUCGACCGAUCCUGAUGUCUUCGGAUGGAUUUGAGUAAGAGCAUAGCUGUUGGGACCCGAAAGAUGGUGAACUAUGCCUGAAUAGGGUGAAGCCAGAGGAAACUCUGGUGGAGGCUCGCAGCGGUUCUGACGUGCAAAUCGAUCGUCAAAUUUGGGUAUAGGGGCGAAAG